CCUACGGGAGGCUGCAGUGGGGAAUAUUGGACAAUGGGCGAAAGCCUGAUCCAGCCAUGCCGCGUGUGUGAAGAAGGCCUUCGGGUUGUAAAGCACUUUCAGUGGGGAAGAAAGCCUUGGGGCUAAUACCCUCGAGGAAGGACAUCACCCACAGAAGAAGCACUGGCUAACUCCGUGCCAGCAGCCGCGGUAAUACGGAGGGUGCGAGCGUUAAUCGGAAUUACUGGGCGUAAAGCGCGCGUAGGCGGUCUGAUAAGCCGGUUGUGAAAGCCCCGGGCUCAACCUGGGAACGGCAUCCGGAAUGUCCAGGCUAGAGUGAAGGAGAGGAAGGAAGAAUCCCCGGGGUAGGGGUGAAAUGCGUAGAGAUUGGGAGGAAGACCAGUGGCGAAGGCGGCCUCCGGGACUGACACUGACGCUGAGGUCCGAAAGCGUGGGUAGCAAACAGGAUUAGAUACCCGAGCAUC
rnacentral:rRNA from 1 species